CGAAGCUGAAAGCCUUCCAGGGAAGAAAAGAAGAGAAACCUCCCCGAACCCUUACGGUAAAUUUAAUUUGCCGUAAUUUCUCCGUCCGAACUUCGAUCGCCACACCGUUUGCGGUCACACGUCUACCGUGUUGAGCUCUACGUUUCUACUGGAAUAAUUUCAUAGAUGAAGUUAGGAAAUGGGGAUAACUUGGAGAUGAAGUAAAGCUGAAAAGUGAUGAAUUGACUAUGAAAUGUUACGGAUGAUCAUGUAUGAUACUCCUGAAGCUAGCGAAUUGGUUACUAGGUUAUUUUGUUAUACAGAGAUGCAUAUAUAUAUGUACUUAGCUUUCUCUUUGCAUAACUUAUUCUUUUUGAUCCUCUUAGAAGUUUAUGAAGAGGCAAGAUACCGUCCGAUUUUUACUCGAACCGUCCGAUUUCUAUUUGGACCAUCCGAUUUGUGUUUAAAAAAUUAAAAAAAUUUGGAGUACACAAAUUGGGUCGUCUGAUUUUUGUACUCCAAAUUUUUUUAAUUUUUUAAACACAAAUCGGUGGGUACAAUUUGUAUACCCUAAAUUUUAAAAAUUUUUUAAACACAAUUUUUUAGUACCUUCCAUAGUUUAAAAAAUACCAAAAAUUAUCACGUUAAGGUAUAACAUUCAUCCUAUUUCCAUAUCCAAAUUUUUUAGCCCCAAACAAAACCAAAUUAAUAAUCUUGAUGAAUUGAGGGCCACUAUUGUAUUGAAUGUAUUUGAUACGAAAUUCUACCUUGUAAAAGCUUCAAUUUGUAAUGCUUUCACAUGUCAUGGAAACUCCUUUUUCCAUAGGUAACAAAUUUACCACUAUUAGUAUUAUCAGAACUUUUUAUCUCCAUUAAGACACACAACUUAUGAACCUAACAAAGGUUUCGGAUGAAUCAAUAUCACCUUCGAAUAUCAUAUAAACAGUAAUCGAGUAAUUUAAAAGGAAAGAUUCAGUGCUCAAAGAUAAAAAAACUUGUCACAACUGGUAUAGAAAGCAAUAUUGGAGUUAUUAGAUACUUUGAUUUGUUCAUACUCUUUUUAAAGUGAUAAAGUUGUUCUGUUUUACUCAGAUUUGGCCAAACAUGAGGUAUCUAUCAUGGUAAUGUUCUACUUUGUUCAUGUGACUCUAUUUCAAUUCUAGACAACUGUCAAUUCUCAAAUAACUAGUCUAUGCUUUUUGGAUUUUGUUGAUUGAACUAAAAACUGCACCAAUUACUGUCUAUAUUACCCAUUCCUUUGAGAUAAUUGGAGUACUUAGUUGUGGGUGUUACAAGAUGAAAUCACCUUACAUACUCCCCCAUCUCCUCCUCAUGCUUAUCUUCUCAGGAUUAGCAUGUGAUUAUGUAGUAAAAGGAGGAGCUUGAGCCAAUGGGGCAAGGAUCCCAGAACACUGGUGCCACAAGAUGAUUCGUUUAAACAAAUGUGAGUCACAGAAAUGUUAUGAGGAGUGCUCUAAAGAACAAUAUGGCGGUGGAUAUUGCAAGGGUGCCACUUGCCUCUGCACAUACUAUUGUAAAGAUCCCCCACUCUACUAAUUACCAAUCCUUCUUUCUCUUAUGCAGUUCUGCUUCUUCCCCCUACUAUGGAACGUUUUUACUACUACAUGGUUUACCAACUUUCUGCCGUAUGAGCAAUUCAAAUUAAACAAGAAAUAAUUAUGAGCAAUGGCAAUGCUAUAUAUAUUGCUAGGAUUUAAUUUCUAAGUUUUUCUUUUAUUAUA